rnacentral:lncRNA from 1 species
AUCAGAUUUUUUCUAAAAAUAUAAAAUUUCAGAAAAUAGGGAUUUUUUUUUUUUUUUGGACAAGGCAAGCAGGGUUCUGUUACAAAAGCUAGAUAAAUACAUUGGAAAAAAAAUACAGGCUCAUAGCCCUCAUGAAAAAUAGAUAUUUGGAACACUCAGCUAAGUCAUAGCCAGUCCAACUGAGUGUUGUUGACCACUUGCCUCGCAUGUGGAAGUCAAAACUGACAAAAUAUAUAAAAGAAUAUUCAUUUUGAUUGGGGGACUUACCUCAAGAAUAUACAGUAGAUUUAAUAUCUGAACACCAGUUAAUAUAUUAUACAAUAAAAAUAGAAAUUGAGACAAGACCUGAGCAGUUGGAUAAAAUGUAUUUGACAAAUCCAAAUCCAUUCGUGAUAAAAGGCCCUUUGACCUGAAACCGAAGGUGCUGCUUCCACAGGUCAAGAGCAGCUACUCAAGACCCACAGCAAAGAACAUGCUUAAAAGGCCAGGCCAGCCACUUCUCCUCGAUGGUUGGGAGGCAUGUGUAUGCUGGCGCACAUACAUGUGGAGACUAGGAACCAGCCCGCAGAUUUUCCUCAGGGACAACUAAUUGCUUGGUUUUUUUGAGACAAGGUCUCUUAUUGGGACCUGGUGCUCACUAAUGUGUGUACCCAGCUGGCCAGCAAAGCCAGAGCUUUGUCUCCACCUCCCCAGCACUAGAAUUAGAAGCCUACUCCGCCAUACCUGCCUUUCUUGUACUUUCUGGGGAUGAAACUUGGGGGUUCAUGUUUGUAUGGCGAAUACUUUCCUGUUUUCCCUCCAACCUGAAAUUAAAUUCUAAAAGGCAUCUUAUAUUCCAGCAUUCUUAAAAUGACACUUGUCUGUUUCUAGCUUAUUUUAUUAUUUAUUUCUGAUUCAACAGUCAUAAUUCCAACACAUAAACUGAUAGCUCAUUCUAAAUAAUUAUGAAAGGGAUGUAUUUAAAAUUUUAUAUGAAAAGGACUUGAAAAGAAUGAACUUAGAGGCUAUAUCGAGAGCCAGGUUUCAAAGCUGAUUAUAAAGAUAAAAGUAAUGAAGGCAAGAUUAAGCUCUUCAUAAAAUAGAUUACAUGAAACAAAGCUGUCAGUCCAGUGGAGGAGGGGGGUUUGUUUGUUCUCUAUUGAUUUUUGACAAAUAGCUAAGACAAUUCAAUAGGAAAGAAGAGUCCCUAACAAAUGCUUCUGGAACAGUUGGCUGUCAAAAUUCACAAGACCAUUUUAGGUUCUUGUGUCAAGCAAAAAGCUAACUAAAAUGGAUCAGAUGCCUGAAUUUAUUCAUAGAAUUUCUAGAAAAUAGUAGGAGACGGUCUGCGUGUCUUUGUACUGCAAAGGGUUCAACACCCAAAGUAUAAGCUUUAAAAAACAAAACAAAAAAAGAGGAGGGGGAGGGGAAGAGAUGGUUCAGCAGUCAAAAUCACUUGUUGGAUUUGCAGAGUCUGAGUUCAGUUCCCAGCAACCACCUGUGACUUUACCUCUAGCUCUAGGGAAUCCAAUGUCCUCUUCUGGCCCUGUGGAAAGCACGUAAGUGCACACAUUUUUGUUUUGUUUUGUUUUUUAAUUUGACAGAUGAUAAGUUAGAUUUUAUCAAAAGUGAAGUCUUUUGUGCUGUAGAAGAGAUCUUGAGGAAAAUGGAAACAAAAGACAAGGACUAAAAAAAAGAUUUAUAAUAGAGUAUGUAUCUUUUUUAAAAAGUAGUUGCAUAUGGAAUAUACUAGAAACUCUGAAAGCUCAAUAGUAAAGAUUCAGCCCAGAACAUUUAAGUAGAUACUCUACUGAAGAAGGUACACAAGUGAAGAAACUCCAUAGGGAAAGAUGCUCAGCAAUAUUGCUUGUUAGGGAAAUUCAAAGCAUACUUCACAGGACGUGUGUACCCUAAGAUGGGUGAGGAAUUAGGGUCAUAAAAACUGCUGCUCCUGCCAAGUGGUAGUGGGGAUAUAAGUGAUGCAGGCACUGUGGAGAUCACUUGAGCAUGGUCUUUGUAAAUUAAAAACAUUAAUAUAUCAUCCAAUGAAGCAAUUUCCUCAAGGAAAAUGAAAACAGUCACACCUUAACACUUACAUGUGUGUGUGUGUGUGUGUGUGUGUGUGUGUGUGUGUGUGUAUUUAUAACAGUCCCACUCUAAACAAGCCAAAGCUCACCCAGCAUAUCUGCACCAUUGAGUAGACCUGGAAAAGCAAAGUGCUUGUAUGUGAAAUGGCCAGGAAAAAAGGCAAAUCAGUGGAGACAGGGUAGGUUUGGGAAGUGACUAUACACAGGCCUGGGGGAUCUUUUCUUGAUUGUGCAAGUGCUCCAGUCUGAUAGUGUGACACUUAAAGAAUUUGAAAAUUGAUAAAAAGUUAUUAACUUUACACUUAAGUCAUACUUCAGUAGGUUAGAAAAGGGUGGGAAACAAGAGGAAGUGCUAGGUACCCUACGUGUUCUUGAAUCUAACAUCUAAGGCUGCUGUGGGGUGGGUGAUAGUAUUUUGUUAAGGAUGCUGAGGCUCUGAAAGCCUGUGCUUCCAUGGAGUGCAUUGCCAAGGAUUCAAAUCAUAAAGGAGGUAUAUGAGUUGGAACAGAAUUCCAUGGCUAGGAGGAUGUAUUUAAAGAUCAUGCUGAUGUUUUAUGUCAUAGUGGUUGAAUGAUGCUGAAAUUGGAGAUGCCUAGAAUAUGGAUAGUAUAUUACAACC